rnacentral:rRNA from 1 species
GAUGAGCAUGCGUCCCAUUAGCUAGUUGGUAAGGUAACGGCUUACCAAGGCAACGAUGGGUAGGGGUCCUGAGAGGGAGAUCCCCCACACUGGUACUGAGACACGGACCAGACUCCUACGGGAGGCAGCAGUGAGGAAUAUUGGUCAAUGGGCGCAAGCCUGAACCAGCCAUGCCGCGUGCAGGAUGAAGCAUCUAUGGUGUGUAAACUGCUUUUGUACGAGAAGAAACACUCCUUCGUGAAGGAGCUUGACGGUAUCGUAAGAAUAAGGACCGGCUAACUCCGUGCCAGCAGCCGCGGUAAUACGGAGGGUCCAAGCGUUAUCCGGAAUCAUUGGGUUUAAAGGGUCCGUAGGCGGUUUUGUAAGUCAGUGGUGAAAGCCCAUCGCUCAACGGUGGAACGGCCAUUGAUACUGCAAGACUUGAAUUAUUAGGAAGUAACUAGAAUAUGUAGUGUAGCGGUGAAAUGCUUAGAUAUUACAUGGAAUACCAAUUGCGAAGGCAGGUUACUACUAAUGGAUUGACGCUGAUGGACGAAAGCGUGGGGAGC